AUUGAACGCUGGCGGCAUGCCUUACACAUGCAAGUCGAACGGUAACGCGGGGCAACCUGGCGACGAGUGGCGAACGGGUGAGUAAUGUAUCGGAACGUGCCCAGUUGUGGGGGAUAACUGCUCGAAAGAGCAGCUAAUACCGCAUACGACCUGAGGGUGAAAGCGGGGGAUCGCAAGACCUCGCGCAAUUGGAGCGGCCGAUAUCAGAUUAGGUAGUUGGUGGGGUAAAGGCUCACCAAGCCAACGAUCUGUAGCUGGUCUGAGAGGACGACCAGCCACACUGGGACUGAGACACGGCCCAGACUCCUACGGGAGGCAGCAGUGGGGAAUCUUGGACAAUGGACGCAAGUCUGAUCCAGCCAUGCCGCGUGCGGGAAGAAGGCCUUCGGGUUGUAAACCGCCUUUGUCAGGGAAGAAACGCUCUGGGUUAAUACCUCGGGGUAAUGACGGUACCUGAAGAAUAAGCACCGGCUAACUACGUGCCAGCAGCCGCCGUAACAC
rnacentral:rRNA from 1 species